AGUGAACGCUGGCGGCAGGCCUAAUACAUGCAAGUCGAACGGCAGCACAGUGGAGCUUGCUCCAUGGGUGGCGAGUGGCGGACGGGUGAGGAAUACAUGGGAAUCUGCCCAGUCGUGGGGGAUAACGUAGGGAAACUUACGCUAAUACCGCAUGCGCCCUUCGGGGGAAAGCCGGGGACCUUCGGGCCUGGCGCGGUUGGAUGAGCCCAUGUUCGAUUAGCUAGUUGGCGGGGUAAAGGCCCACCAAGGCGACGAUCGAUAGCUGGUCUGAGAGGAUGAUCAGCCACACUGGGACUGAGACACGGCCCAGACUCCUACGGGAGGCAGCAGUAGGGAAUAUUGGACAAUGGGCGCAAGCCUGAUCCAGCCAUGCCGCGUGAGUGAAGAAGGCCCUCGGGUUGUAAAGCUCUUUUGUCCGGGAAGAAAAGUAUCGGGCUAAUACCUCGGUGUUCUGACGGUACCGGAAGAAUAAGCACCGGCUAACUUCGUG
rnacentral:rRNA from 1 species